rnacentral:rRNA from 1 species
GAUGAACGCUGGCGGCGUGCCUAAUACAUGCAAGUCGAGCGAACGGACGAGAAGCUUGCUUUUCUGAUGUUAGCGGCGGACGGGUGAGUAACACGUGGAUAACCUACCUAUAAGACUGGGAUAACUUCGGGAAACCGGAGCUAAUACCGGAUAAUAUUUUGAACCGCAUGGUUCAACAGUGAAAGACGGUCUUGCUGUCACUUAUAGAUGGAUCCGCGCUGCAUUAGCUAGUUGGUAAGGUAACGGCUUACCAAGGCAACGAUGCAUAGCCGACCUGAGAGGGUGAUCAGCCACACUGGAACUGAGACACGGUCCAGACUCCUACGGGAGGCAGCAGUAGGGAAUCUUCCGCAAUGGGCGAAAGCCUGACGGAGCAACGCCGCGUGAGUGAUGAAGGUCUUCGGAUCGUAAAACUCUGUUAUUAGGGAAGAACAUAUGUGUAAGUAACUGUGCACAUCUUGACGGUACCUAAUCAGAAAGCCACGGCUAACUACGUG